rnacentral:lncRNA from 1 species
UUGGGCGACCGGGUUUUUAUCAUCGUCAGGAUGAGGUUCUCCUUCUGUUCUUGACGUAGUCGAUCUCAGCUCAGGUUAGGAUGAGGUUCUCCUCCUAUUCCCAAUGGGGCUGUGGGGGCAUAUAAGGGCCGUUGCAAGGGCCUCUCCCCCCAUCGGAUCUAAAAGAACUGGGCCUUUGACUUUGCUCAUGUCAGGAUGAGGUUCUCCUCCUAUUUCCAACAUGGCUGUGGGGGCACAUAAGGGCGUUGUAAGUGUUGGGAAAUGUGUCCCAAAAAGCC